CAUUGACAUCAAAAUGGGCUAAUGCCUAAAUGUUUCCUAUCCUUAUCCUAUCAUCUAAAUCAUUAAAAAUAGCCUAAAUUUUGAGAAUUAUAAAAAAAAUUGAGAACCCUCUGUUUAUGCCAGAAUUAUGCUCUUACAAGUUUAGACAGCAAUUACACUCUCACAAGUAGACCUCAAACCUCUAUUUUCCAAAGAGCUUGUCAAGUUUUUCCUUUUUGAUCAUAAAGAAAAUUAAAGAAAAAUGUGCUUUUUUAAGUUAAGAAAAAAAAAACAAUAUAAAAAAGAUAAAUUGGACCCAGAAUUUUCCUGUGUCCCCCAAGAAAGACCCUUUUUAAUGAAAUCUCUGCCAAAAUCACCAGUGCCUCCCCUGAGAACCACCACCUUUGUUCUUUGCAAAGAAGGCAUUCUUGGGUUUUGGAAU
rnacentral:misc_RNA from 1 species